GCUUACGGCCAUACCACCCUGAGAACGCCCGAUCUCGUCUGAUCUUGGAAGCGAAGCAGGGUCGGGCCUGGUUAGUACGUGGAUGGGAGACCGCCUGGGAAUACCGGGUGCUGUAAGCA
rnacentral:rRNA from 1 species